rnacentral:rRNA from 1 species
AACGAACGCUGGCGGCAUGCCUAACACAUGCAAGUCGAACGAGACCUUCGGGUCUAGUGGCGCACGGGUGCGUAACGCGUGGGAACCUGCCCUUAGGUUCGGAAUAACUCCCCGAAAGGGGUGCUAAUACCGGAUAAUGUCUUCGGACCAAAGAUUUAUCGCCUUUGGAUGGGCCCGCGUUGGAUUAGCUAGAUGGUAGGGUAAAAGCCUACCAAGGCGACGAUCCAUAGCUGGUCUGAGAGGAUGAUCAGCCACACUGGGACUGAGACACGGCCCAGACUCCUACGGGAGGCAGCAGUGGGGAAUAUUGGACAAUGGGCGAAAGCCUGAUCCGGCAAUGCCGCGUGAGUGAUGAAGGCCUUAGGGUUGUAAAGCUCUUUUACCCGGGAUGAUAAUGACAGUACCGGGAGAAUAAGCGCCGGCUAACUCCGUG